AAGGUUGAGCUAAUAGAAAGAAGAGUUGAGAAUUCUAAGUUAAUCAGUGUUUAGGUUGUUAUAUAAUGAUUGUUGGGGCUAUAGAAAAGCUAAGAGUUGUAACUCCGAAGAAAAUACUAGCAGCGGGUUUUAAAUUAUCAGGCAUAGUCAUUCAGGUUGAGUUCAUCAAUUGUGCGUAUUAUUAUACCCCAGAUUCUAGAGUAAAGUGGUGGUGG
rnacentral:lncRNA from 1 species